UUCUGAUCUUGAAGUUUUUUGUGUAAAUUGUUGUUAGGAUCCCCAAAAUCGAAAUGGUUUUCUGCUACCCAUCAUCUCCUUCAAAGUUUGCUGCUACAUUGGCGUGUUUUUUUGGUGGUGCUGCUCUGUUUGCUUUUGGUGUACAUCAUUCUUAUAUCAAUAUUGCUCCUCAACAAGCUCGAACUAAAGCUCGGAAUGACUUUGUCAAGGAUCGGUUGAGAAAGAAAUAUGGCAAAUAAUUCGUGCUUAGCCUAUUGCAACAAAGAUAUAGCUAGCAUUGUUGUCUGUGAUCUGCUGGUGGAGUGUAUGAACGUCACCACAUACCUCUACUAAUUAAGGUGUAUCAAUGGCCAGAAAUAUAUUUAAGUUAACAAAUGUGGAUGGGUGCAGUAAGGCUAAUCCAGGGGUUGCAGGAGGUGGUAGAGUUGUUAGAGAUCAUGAUAGCCUUUGCUUCUUUCUAUGGCAUUUACAGUAAUGGUAGAAGGCAGAAGCUAAGGCUAUUCUCCAAGGAUUGAGCAUGUGCAUUGACAGAGGCUACCUUAUGACUAUUGUAGAGUCCGACUCUAUGCUAUUGGUUGAUAUAAUCAAUAGGAAAGUACUCCGUGGCAGAUAUAUAGCAUCAAUCAUCAAUCAGAUUUGGUCCUUGAUGCAUAAAGGGGUUCUUUUUUUGUCCACGUCUUUAGGGAAGGAAAUGGCAUUUCAGAUCAGAUGGCUAAUUUGGGUGUUACAGACAGAGCACAUUGUUGUCGUCACUGUAGAUCUCUCUUUGCCAAGCCAAUCUAGAGCUUCACUGAAGCAAGAGCAGGAUCGAAUAUGACUAAUACACCAAACCUUGUUUGUGGUACUCAGUGUACUUGUAUAGCUUUGUGCUCCCUUUACUCUUUCGUUCUAUAUGGAAAAAGAAAGAUCUAUCGCUGUGUAGACUCUGCGGUUGAUGCAAAUGAACUGUGCUAUAGCUAAAACCAUUUGUAUUUCGUGUGUUGGAGGCUAAGGUGUAUGUAUGUCCUCCUCCGUGCAAUCUUUAUUUUUCAUGUAUAUAAUCACUAUCGU